rnacentral:rRNA from 1 species
UACGGGGGGGGGCAAGCGUUGUUCGGAAUUACUGGGCGUAAAGGGUUCGUAGGUGGCUUGUUAAGUCAGACGUGAAAUCCCUCGGCUCAACCGGGGAACUGCGUCUGAGACUGAUGAGCUUGAGUGCAGGAGAGGAACGCGGAAUUCCAGGUGUAGCGGUGAAAUGCUUAGAGAUGACAUAGAACACCUAUUGCGAAGGCAGCUUACUACGCAUAUAUUGACGCUGAGGCACGAAAGCGUGGGGAUCAAACAGG